ensembl:lncRNA
UGACUGAUUGUCUGUCCCAGUGAAUGACUGAUUUAAAAAAGGACCUUUAAAAGCGGACAGCAGUAGUUUUGUAUGUGUAAGUGUGGUCGGGAGCAUGGUUAGUAGCAGAGACUCGCCCUCCUUGAAGGAGACUUUGGCAGCUGUGGGUCAGAGUGCACGUAAGAGUUUUUCCAGGAAAAUUCGAAGGCUUUCUCCAAGAUGACCUCUGUGUUUUUCCUUUGGGACCUGGGACUAAAGGAAUUUUACAUUUGGGUUUUCUGUGGACAGACAGACAAUGAAAAACCUUUGAGUCUGUAGAGCGCGGGAGGCUUAGAUGCUGUCACUAAGAAUGUGCUUUUCUCUAGAUGCUGGAUGAGGAGGACACUGACAAAGACGGGAUGAGUUUGGAGGUCGACACUCCAGUGACGAACCAUCGGGGUGACGACGACGAUGACGAAGAAGAUCUCCCCGAGAUAGUGCUGGAUGACGUGCCUGCGGUGAGGGUGGCGGGACGGCCUCCAUUCGCUCCGCGGGUAAGUUGGGUUUUUAGUCUGAGCUCGCAGUGUUGCUCUAUUUCCCCUCCGUGGACAUUAAGUUAUGACAGCCUGAGCCUGCACGUUCCAGACCAUGUGGACGGUUCCGAGGGUUGGGACUCCAUGUCAGGCGCGUCUGUUGCCAACUCCCGAUGCCUGCUUCCGCAGGGCAAUGCGAUAACAACACCUGUCCCAGCCUGCAGAGGACAGAGCUCCUUCUCCAGAAGCAUCUUUUCCUCGAGGGAAAGAGUUCUGUCAUCUCCAACUGACAUGGCCUUGGACAUCCCGUCGUCUAGGACAAGUUCUUGCCUUUGUCCCCGAGGAGGGUUUGCUCUGCCUUUGCUGGGUUCUCUGGACUCCACCGCUGUUGUGCAUCGGGGUUUCUGCUGUCACCAAGUGAAGGAAAGACCUGUGCAAAUAGGUGGCCUUGUGGUCUGAUCCUCAUGGCACUUUCUCCUCUUGUCAUUGCAGGUGGCCUUCAUGGUGAACAAAACACGUAUGUAUGCUGGAAGCACUCAUCUGGGGGGAGGGGCCCCUUAGAAGGUGAGGCAGGUGGCGCAGUCUUGCUGGGUUUAUUUAUUUGUUUUUAAUUGUUGUUUCCCCAGGGCAGGUUUUGUUUUUUUCCCCUUUCUUCCGGCCGUAGGGCAUGGUGACCCGGUUACACAUACAUGCACACGUUCUAUUUUCGCACAUUAUCAUGCUCCAUCAUAAGUGACUGGACAUAGCUCCCCAGGGCUACACAGCAGGCUCUCACUGCCCAUCCAUUCCAAAGGCAAGAGUUUGUAUCUAUUAACCCCAAGCUCCCCAGCCGCCCCAGUCCCUCCCCCUCCCCUCCCCUCUCCCCCUUGGCAACCACAAGUCUCUUCUCCCAAGUCCAUGAUUUUCUUUUCUGUGGAAAGGUUCAUCUGUGCCUCAUGUUAGACGCCAGAUACAUUCUUGCUGGUUUUGGUGUGGAGGGCCGGAGUGUUUGCAGUUUUGUCCUUGGAGUUAGGGUAGCAGGUUUGCUGAUGGAAAGUGACUUACAGGUAAAGUCACGGGGCCAGGUACUGUAGUCCCAGGAACAAGCCGUGUUACCAUUAGUCGAUGGAGGUUUGUGUGCAAGGGACUAGGGGGGUGUGUAUGGGAAACGGCUGGUAGGAUUCUGAGUGUGUCAAAAUCCUGAGCCUUCCUCUGACCCUCCUCCCAGAUGACCCCGAGUACCCGAGGCGGAAGGUGUCCGGCAUCAGUGCUCAGAAAGUUGUUCCACCUUCCACCAAGGUAAGGGCUUUUCACUUCUCUGAGGAAAAAGAAAAAGCAAAAAAAAAAAAAAUAUAUAUAUAUAUAUAUAUAUAUAUAUAUAUAUAUAUAUAUGGCUUCAUUCCCUAGCUUUUCAAUCAAAUUCAACUCUGAAAGUCCAAAUCCGUGGAUACUUAGGGUUUUCCUGGGUUGGGUGACUGUU